GGUUUAAACUCACAAGCCUUUGAGCCAUAAGCCAACACUAUUACCACUGAGCUACCACAUCUCACACUCUCUUGUCUAUUUCUUUAAAGUGAUCUACCUCCCUGUAGUGGUGGUCGUGUGUGUGGUUGUGAUCUUCGCUCAAGCUUUUAUAAUCUGUAAAAUGAGAUACUGGGAACAAUUUAAAGUGAGAUCUCAAAAACGUUCUGCAACAGAAAAAAACUCCAGUCAGGGUCGCGAUGCAGAGGAGCUGAAUUACGCUGCUUUACAUUUCAAUAAGAAGAAGAAUACCAACAGAGUGAAAAGAAAGGAAAAAAAUCCUGAAGAUAUUUGUGUUUAUUCUACAGUGAGAUCUGCGACCUAGAAUAAAUCUGUUAAUUGAAUUAUUUAAUUUAUUAAUUCAAAUCUCAUUCCCAGGAAUGACUGAUUGUGAUAUUAGAUAUGAGAGGUGAAUUUUAUGUCUGUCAUUUGUAAUUCUUUCUGUGAGAAGAUCAAAGCCGUCGAACAUUUUCUU